GGUGGUUCUCGGGUGACGCACCCUGGAAUCAGGCUCCCUCCUCUCUGGUUCCAGGUGUGUCACCGCAGAUGCC
rfam:Myotis lucifugus cont2.36013, whole genome shotgun sequence.